CACGUAGGGGGCGAGCGUUGUCCGGAUUCAUUGGGCGUAAAGGGCGCGCAGGCGGCCCGGAAAGUCGGAUGUGAAAACUCGGGGCUCAACCCCGAGCGUGCACCCGAUACUGCCGGGCUUGAGGCAGGUAGGGGAGAUCGGAAUUCCUGGUGUAGCGGUGAAAUGCGCAGAUAUUAGGAGGAACACCGGUGGCGAAGGCGGAUCUCUGGGCCUGUCCUGACGCUGAGGCGCGAAAGCUAGGGGAGCGAACAGG
rnacentral:rRNA from 1 species